CCCCCCCUCCACCCCCCCCCCGCCCCUUCUGUUUAUGUCAAAGGCUGACAGGAACAAUAGCGUUUAAACAGGAAUAAACAUGCCCAGAUCAGAGUCCAGCCCUGGAGAAAGCUCUCCCUUUCUUUGCAUCCUUAAGUGAACUGGCCAGUGUUUCCCCCUUUCCUCCUUCUCCCCUCUCCCCCACAAAACGACGCACAUCAUUGACAGCCCAAAUAGCAGUUUAAUGUUGAAUUUCUUCCCUCCACCCCGCCGGAACAAAGCGGGUCACACUGCACCUGAGGAGGACAUGCAACCUCAAAAAGGCUCUGGUCGCACUUCGACCACUUUAUUCCAAGUCCGGAUUAAUAAAUCCAGGGGAAGAAGGAGGGGAGGGAUCUCCAGGCUGGAGAUGAGGAGGGAUGAGGUUUGUGCCGAGGUUUUUAAUAAGCUGCUGCUCUCUCUGUCCUUCAUGUUUACCCACUGACCCCCAAUACGAUGACUCAGCGAUUACCGAGCACUGGAUGUCUGUGUGUGAGGGGCUGGGGGGGAAUUCCUCCCCCUUUCCUCCUUUUCUUUCUGAUGAAAAACGUUGCAAUUACAUUUCUGCAUGCUGAUCUGAGAGUUCAAAUAACAAGCCUUAAAUGCGUUAUCAGGCGCUUGUUAAAGAGGGAAAAGGGGAGCGAAGAGAGGAAGAAAUCCAGAUGUAUAUGCUUCUGUACAUGCCUGGAUGUAAGUAUGCCUAUAUAUCUGCACACUUAUACAUGCAUAUAGAUACAUUUUUAAAUGACAGACUGCUAGAAGAAGAGAUGGACUGUUGUUCGGCCUGAGUGCCUUCACCCUGGCAGAUGAGAAAACAGCACUAACCAAACGAGAGAAGAAAGACCAAGAGGUGCAAAUUACUCCAGGGAAAAGUUAUUUAGACACAAUCUCUAGGUUUUCCCAGUGCAAACUGACUCUCCUACCGGGUUUGAUCCAGUUUACCCGCUCCCCUUCUCCAUCCCACCCUGGGGUGAUUCACCCCUAUUUCGCAUUUUCCUUCUUUGAAGCAUCCUUCUUUCCCGUCGCCCCGCCCGGGAGGGCGUUUUCCGGGACCCCGCGUGGCCGCGGCCCGCUCCGCGACCGCAGAAAGGCCGGCGGAGCCGGGGCCGCCCCCGGGGACGCAAAGUGGCGGCGGGCUCCCCUCCGGGCUUUCGGGUCCCAGCCUCCACCUCCCACACUUCUCUCCCCCCCCCCCACCCCAGCUCCUAGCAGGCGGCAAGAAAUCGUUUCAGAAGUAGGGUGGUGGGACUGAAUUUAGAGAGGGGAGGAGGAAAUAAAUGCAAGGAGAUGAUGAAUAACGUUAACUUUUGACUGUAGGAGUCAUGAUGGAGUUGAGCGAAGCUGCAGGGAAAUACGUCAUUUAAUCCCAGGGCUACUGAAGUCCCUUUUAUCAAACGUCGGGAUGCUGGAAUUAUACUGCUGUAAAGUACUUAAAAGUAUCCAACAUCAGGCAAAUAUAUAGAUUGGAGGAAUGGGUGUAAAAUGAAGGCACGUACAAACUAAUCACACGACCGUGAAAACCCCAAGCGGAUUAGAUAAAUAUAAAUAGAUGUGCAUUAAAAAAAAAAAAAAGGCACGAUAAAACUGUAGCUGCUGCAUUCACACAAGGAGAACAGACAGCGUGUGCAUGUUUGUGUGCAAUGCCAAAAAGAGCAGCCUUAAGGUUGACCUACUGCAAUCUGCACUGAGCUCCUUAGACAAUAGACAAGUUCAAAUGUCAAAAAAUCUAAUAAUAAUAACCAGAGCUGCCAAACUGCACGAACUGUUUUCUGGUGUAUCACAAUUAUUCACCCUCUUAUCCACUAAGAGACUGCCAGUCCUUAUGUGCGUAAAAGAAAAUCUAUGUAAUGCAUAUGGAUCUUUUUUUUUUUUACAUGUGAAAAGCCAUUGAGAUGGCAAGCACGCAAAUCGGAAUGAUAUCAUGUCUAAUAAAAGCAGGGCUAAGGUUUUCACAGUCUCUUUUAAAAGACUCCAACUUGUAAAUCCCCUUUUUAUGUUGCUACAUGCACAGUUAUUCUGAUAAAUAAAAAUCUACAUGUUCAAGGGUCUGGAUUGGAACUAUAUAUCCCCCUGAUUUUAACAUCGGUGGGAGCAUUAGGUUUCCAUCAUAUGUAAUAUGUCUACGUUGAGCUCAAGUCAACAGAUAGAUUGUUCCAUUCAUUUGGCGACUCUCAUUACAGUCUAUGUGAGAUGAACCCUGAGCACGACACAUUGGGUAAUAUCAAAAUUAUGCAGCUGGGAAAGAAAGGACUCCUGUUUUAAAAGCUAUCUUGCUUUGCAUGUGCAGUUCUGUAUUAUUGUUCUAAUUUAUUACAGAACCCGAAAUGCUUUGUUAUGCUCAAAACAAUAAAUAAGGUUCCGAGUGAAGCCUUCAGAAUAAAAGGUAUGGAUAAAUGAUCUGCCCGCCUAUUGUGUUUAUCGUUGUUAUCGUCAGACUUUAAAAGUAAUCUGUGUAUUUUCCUAUUUUCUCCAGAUUGGUUAGUGUAAUAUCCCUAGUGCAGCUAUCAAGGUGGUCAUAAGAACUAUGAACUACAGCGUGGGUAAGCUUGAAAAACCCAGAGCAGCUCACGUUAGCCAAGAACGCUACAUAUCUGGAAGCCAGUCAACUUCACGUUUGCAGCUGACUGCCGUAUUAUGCACGAAUGUGUUUUACAUAUAGCAGACUGUAUACGGAAUAUGUCUUUAUGUUUAACAUUUUAAUUUGUAAAUGCUAAUUAGGCAGUUGGUCUCCACGGUUAUAUUAGUACAUACCUAAUCAUUUCCCACUAUAAGUAAAUGAAUACUAAAUACGGUAAACACUUUCAUUUCCCUACCUCCAAGACAGUAUUGCGUCUACAUCCAUUUUCCAAAGGCGUCCAUUCGGACAAAUAGGCAUUUAUUAAAAGAAGGAUGUGAAAAAAAUGUUCGCGAAGCCUAGCCAUGAAACAAUUGGGGUGCCGUUGCAAGCAUGGAGCCAACAAUCUUGGCCGGACCAGACUCUUCCGAAGGCAGUCAGCAAAGUUUAAGUUUUACCGAAUUAACUUGUUGCUCGUUUUAGCGUUAGUUUUUCACUUCGCUUGCGGUAUCUCGCAGGCUGCUGCUGCUGCUAACUAGUGCGGGCAUACAGCAGAACAGCCGAGCUGCUAACUCCUAUUUUGUUUAAAAUAUAACGCAGGUUACGCUUGGAGGGUUGGGGGGAGGGGGGACAGAGGAAAGCUGGAGGGAAAUCCGCUCAAUCCCGACCCCGGGAUGCUGAGCUUUCAACUCCAAAACCCUUCAGAGGCGAGAGAAAUGUUCACUAAACUACGGCAAAUCUCAAGCAAGCCACCACGUUUCUGAAGAGAACUGCGCUCUGGAAUGUGUUUUACUAGUCUGGAAUAUUGCUAGUGCUUACUGCGCCAAACGCGGUUUUUAGGCGGGCAGAUCAUCUUGCCAGGUUCUAUCAUAUUUAUGGGCUGUGCGAUUUCCAGGGUUCCAAUUGGUCUUUUCUUCAUGGAGGCAAGAAAUAAAACUUUCCCAGUCGCACGGAAACUGCUGGGGCUCCAGCGCGGGGAAACAAAGUGGCUUCAAAACCCCCACCCCGUGGCAGCAGUUCCCCCCUCCCCGUCCGGGGGCUGCCUGGGACAUUCCCCUUGCAGGUGCGUUAAAGGAUGCUGCAGCCACGCGGGUCCGCCCCUGCCCAGCAUCCUGCUGGCGGACGGCAGUGAGAAACAGACGUGUAUAAGCAGGAAUACUACCAAAAAAAUACAAAAAAACAAACCAAAAC